GACGAACGCUGGCGGCGUGCUUAACACAUGCAAGUCGAACGGAAAGGCCCUGCUUUUGUGGGGUGCUCGAGUGGCGAACGGGUGAGUAACACGUGAGUAACCUGCCCUUGACUUUGGGAUAACUUCAGGAAACUGGGGCUAAUACCGGAUAGGAGCUCCUGCUGCAUGGUGGGGGUUGGAAAGUUUCGGCGGUUGGGGAUGGACUCGCGGCUUAUCAGCUUGUUGGUGGGGUAGUGGCUUACCAAGGCUUUGACGGGUAGCCGGCCUGAGGGGGUGACCGGCCAUAUUGGGACUGAGAUACGGCCCAGACGCCUACGGGAGGCAGCAGUGGGGAAUAUUGCACAAUGGGCGGAAGCCUGAUGCAGCAACGCCGCGUGCGGGAUGACGGCCUUCGGGUUGUAAACCGCUUUCGCCUGUGACGAAGCGUGAGUGACGGUAAUGGGUAAAGAAGCACCGGCUAACUACGUG
rnacentral:rRNA from 1 species